AGACGUGGUCAUUGACCAUAGAUAAUGCAAGGCUAUGCAAUGACACCAAUGGCCAAGCUGGCAACGAAACGUGGAUCGAGACCGGCGACAGCGUGGUCUUCGCCUCCCCAGACUUUCCUUCGAGUUACGGGACCAAUGGCACCACGGACUGGGUGUUCUGCGCAGUUGACCCUAAUGCCCGAAAAAAGGGAAGA
rnacentral:lncRNA from 1 species